GAUGAAGAACGUAGCGAAAUGCGAUAAGUAGUGUGAAUUGCAGAAUUUAGUGAAUCAUCGAAUCUUUGAACGCACAUUGCGCCCUUUGGUAUUCCUUAGGGCAUGCCUGUUCGAGCGUCAUCUACACCCUCAAGCACAGCUUGGUGAUGGGCGCCUGUCCCGCCCCCCACGGGGGCGCGGACUCGCCUCAAAUGCAUUGGCCGCCGGCGACCUGGCUUCGAGCGCAGCAGAAACGCGUACUCGGGGACCGGGCGCCCGCUCCCAGAAGCCAACCCACCCAGUUUGACCUCGGAUCAGGUAGGGAUACCCGCUGAACUUAAGCAUAUCAAUAAGCGGAGGA
rnacentral:misc_RNA from 1 species